GACGAACGCUGGCGGCGUGCUUAACACAUGCAAGUCGAGCGACGCUCUUCCUUCGGGGAGCUGACGGAGCGGCGAACGGGUGAGUAACACGUGGGCAACCUGCCCCUAGCUCUGGGACAACACCGGGAAACCGGUGCUAAUACCGGAUACGACAUCGAGCGGCAUCUCUCGAUGUGGAAAGUUUUUUCGGCUAGGGAUGGGCCCGCGGCCUAUCAGCUUGUUGGUGGGGUAAUGGCCCACCAAGGCGACGACGGGUAGCCGGCCUGAGAGGGCGACCGGCCACACGGGGACUGAGACACGGCCCAGACUCCUACGGGAGGCAGCAGUGGGGAAUAUUGCGCAAUGGGCGAAAGCCUGACGCAGCGACGCCGCGUGAGGGAUGACGGCCUUCGGGUUGGAAACCUCUUUCAGCAGGGACGAAUUCAGACGGUACCUGCAGAAGAAGCACCGGCCAACUACGUG
rnacentral:rRNA from 1 species